UGCCCAGUGAUGAUACCCAUCCUUGCUCCCCGUGCCCCCCGGGCUGUGGGCGACAUCAUGGCUGCCCCCAGGUUGUGCCAGUUGGGCUGAUGCCUGGGGGCUGAGGGCA
rnacentral:snoRNA from 12 species